CAUGACAGAAAGCAGCCAUGUGGAGAGAGUAUCACUUCCUCGUUAACAAAUCUUUCAGCCUCUGCCUUACACCUGCACAAACACACACCGAUGCCUACAGCUACGGAGCUCCAAGAAGCAGAAAGGAUUUCUAGAGAGGAAAUUUGAUUUAGGAUUUACUGGGUCAAACAUCUCCGCUGGAUAAAACUCAAGCGUUGCUCCGUAUGCCGCACUAAAUGAACUGCUUCAUCUCAUUCAAGCUGACAGAAUCCAGAUGCAGCAGCAGCUCCCUGAUAUCUUUUGCUUUGUUUCCUUGGCUUCACCGGUGGAUCCUUCUCGCUGGUUUUAUUUCCUUAAGAGAAUAGCUCUGCUGUCAGACACUGUGGUUUCCAGUCAUUUAUGUUGGAGAAUAAGCAGCGAGGAGGCAGAGAGUCGACACCAGCUGAAGCUCAGCGAUGAGCUCCGGGUCAAACGUCGAGGUCACGUGAUUGGCCCAGAGUCAGGAAGUGAUGAGGCCGAUAUGACAGCAGGUGGAGAGUAAAAACAGACGUCCGGUCCAGCCAAUAAAUCCCAGUCACACACCAACCAACUGUCCAGCCAGUCCACAAGCCCUGAUUAACAUCAGAAUCAAUCUGCCCCCCGGUGGCCAGAAGACAGACACCUGAGGCUUUAAAUGAACCAGCAACAGCACUUUAAAGAAACUCCUGAGGAUCUACGCUACUGUACACUAUAAAAUAAACAUUUGGUUCAGUCA